rnacentral:rRNA from 1 species
UAGAGUUUGAUCCAUGGCUCAGGACGAACGCUGGCGGCGUGCUUAACACAUGCAAGUCGAACGGAAAGGCCCUUCGGGGUACUCGAGUGGCGAACGGGUGAGUAACACGUGGGUGAUCUGCCUCGUACUCUGGGAUAAGCCUGGGAAACUGGGUCUAAUACCGGAUAGGACCUUCUCUCGCAUGGGGGUUGGUGGAAAGUUUUUCGGUACGAGAUGGGCCCGCGGCCUAUCAGCUUGUUGGUGGGGUAAUGGCCUACCAAGGCGACGACGGGUAGCCGGCCUGAGAGGGCGACCGGCCACACUGGGACUGAGACACGGCCCAGACUCCUACGGGAGGCAGCAGUGGGGAAUAUUGCACAAUGGGCGCAAGCCUGAUGCAGCGACGCCGCGUGAGGGAUGACGGCCUUCGGGUUGUAAACCUCUUUCACCAGGGGCGAAUU